GGGAACAUAAUACACUAAUUGUUUCUGCUUUACACAUGAUAAUGUAUUUUUUCUCUGCUUACUAAAAAUGAAUAAAUAAAGACCUGUUGAGCCUCUCGGCAGAAGAUACUAGCACCUCACCAAGUGUCAGUGUCUCCUCAUUCUACCUCAUCCCCUUCCCCUCAGUCCUUUCAUUUUCGCCAACGCUGUCUCAUCCUUUCAGGAACCCCUGACAUGACAUUUUGCCAGAGGCUGGUCCCCCCGAUUUCCCAGCCCGGCUCCGGGGAGCCCCGCUUCAUCUGCGUGGGCUACGUGGACGACACGCAGCUCUUGCGGUUCGACAACAACUACCUGAGUCUGAAAAUGGAGGCAACAGUGCCGUGGAUGGAGCUAGAGGGGUCGGAGUAUUGGGAGAGCCACAAGCGGAUUGUCGAGGGCCACUUACACCUGUCCAGGCUCCGACUGAACAACCUGCGGAUACACUACACCCAGAGCGGAACAGUUCGCCUACGACAGUGUUGAUCCCCUCACCCUGAUGGAGGAGCUGUGCGCCAAGACCCCAGCGGGCAUGGAGGUGCAGACCUGGGAGGGUGAGUGGGAGGAGGUCCUCGCCUCUGAAUUCCACACUCCCAGCCUGGAACGCGAGUGUGGCCAGUGGCUCCAAGGACAACUGAAGAAAGGGAACCGGACACUGCAUGCAAAACUCCCAAAGACACUCGUGACCCACUAUGCUACCUCUGACCAUGAGGUAACACUGAGGUGCUGGGCCCUGGGCUUCUACACUGUGGACAUCACCCUGACCUGGCAGCGAGAUGGGGAGGACCUGACCCAGGACAUGGAGCUGGUGGAGACCCGGCCCAAGCGGGGUUGGAACCUUCCAGAAGUGGGUGGCUGUGGUGGUGCCUUCUGGAGAGGAGCAGAGAUACACGUGUCGUGUGCAGCAUGAGGGGCUGGGCUUCUGGAGCCCCGAGUCCUGAGAUGGGAGCCACCUCCUCAGUCCUCCUUCCCCACCGUGGAUAUCAUUGCUGUCCUGGUUCUCCUUGGAGCUGUGCUCACUGGAGUUGUGAUUUGGAGGAAGAAGCUCUCAGGUAGAGAAAACCUCAUAUGAGGUCUGAGAUUUCUUGUCUAAUGUCUGCUUGAUACUGUGAGGCAUGAUCCCACACACAUGCGUUUUCUCAGAUGAGAGCCAGGUUUGCUGACACUUUUUUGUAAAGCACAUGAAACUCCUUUGUAUGAAAAAUGAAGGACAGAUAUUUCAACCUGAUGACUUUGGUCAUGGGGACCUCACUUGAGUAGCUGCAGGUAAAAAGGAAAUGUCCCUGCUAAGGACGGAGGAGGCUGGCCCAGCUCCCACACGUGCUUUCUCCUCAUGUUCCCCAAUCCUGUCCUGGAGCCCAGGACAGGCCAGUUCCUCAGGACUUCUUGGUCCUGCCUCCUCCCUGGCCUCUCACAAAAUGUUUUCUUCCUACAGGUAGAGAAGGAGAGAAAUCCUACAUCUGGAUAUGUGGGGUAGGAAGGCCAUUAGAAAAGUGUAGAUGGUGGACCUUCCUGGUGGCACAGGGGGUUGGGCAUGGCACUAUGGAGCUGUCCGCUGCCUCUGCAGAGUGAGUUCGGUCCCCAGCCAGCCAGGGAGCAUCCCACAUGGCUGUCUUGCCCGCUGCUCCCCUCAGCAGUGUAUUUCAGUCAGUCUGCCUGUUCUGUUCCCCACUCUGUCUCUGGUGAAUCCUCUCACCCCCUGCAUCUCUGGCCUGUAUCCCAGCUCUUAUAUGCAUAAAUGGAUAAAUCUUUUUUUAUUUUUGGUGGUGUUUUUAUUUAUUUAUUUUUAUAGAGGCAUUUUUAUUUAUUUAUUUAUUUGUUUGUUUGUUUGUUUAUACAUGCACUGGGUACAGUCAGAAGCGCGGGAGGGUGAGAGAAUUCCCCAGAGCCAGAGUGGGGAGCAGAGCAGGCAGAAGGACCGAAGCACACUGCUGAGGGGAGCAGCGGGCGGCAGGAGAGGUCUGCGCGCCAUGUGGGACCCUCCUCCAGUGGCCGGGGAGCAGCCAGGGAUCGAACCGGCGCCGCAGAGGUUGCCGGCAGCUUCACAACCCAGCGCUCAACCGCUGCGCCACCGGGGAGGCCCUAAAUGGAUAAAUCUUUAAAGAAAUAAAAGAAAAGUGUAGAUGGAGUCCAUGGGGGAGCUCACUCACCCCAUAAUCGCUCCUUUAGUCUCAUCUUCUGGGCACUCUAACCAGGUUCUGUUUUCUGGUUUUGCCCCAACCAGCUUUUAAAGUAAAACUCUGGGGCCUCCCUGGUGGUGCAAGGGUUUAAGAUGCAACCUAUGAAGCUCGCCACAGCCACCACAGCACGAGUUCGAUCCCCAGCCAAGGAGCUACCCACAUGGCACAGCAGACCUCUCCUGUCUCGCCCGCUCCUCCCCUCCGCAGUGUAUUUCUGUCAGUCUGCCUGUUCUGUUCCCCACUCUGUCUCUGGUGAAUCCUCUCACUCCCUUCCCCACACCUCUGGACUGCACCUUAAUUCUUGUAUGCAUAAUUUAAAAAAAAACCCUAUACCCUGGCAGAGAAGCUGGGGGUAGCAUGUCAUUUUCCUGAAGGGCAAGCCCCUUCCACCCUCCUACCAAAAGCAUCUGGCUGCCCCAAACCUGCCCACAGGGGUUGCAGGCUGCCCCCUUCCUGCCAGACCAGCCUCUGCAGCGCAGGUUCGAUUCCCUGCCGGCAAAUAUUGACAAGAAGACGAGGACGGUGAUCUCCGUGGAGCGGUUCCAGGAUCAGGUCACCAUUCCCAUUUCCACCAUAAGGCCGGGGUGGUCGCGAGUCUUAGGGUCGACUGUACCUCGAGGAUGGUGGCUCUGCCAGGCCCCUCCUUCGGGAAGAGCCGGGGAGACGUUCCCGCCUGCCCUUUCAUUUUCAGUUUUUGCUUUAUUCAGGGUGAGAGGCGGGGUGAUCGCCAGGUGACCUCGGGGCUGACCACAGGGGUGGGUUUCAGGGUCUCACACGCUCCAGAGGAUGUUUGGCUGUGAAGUGGGGCCAGACCUGAGCCUCCUCGGCGGGUGUGACCAGUUCGCCUACGACGGCGCGGAUUCCAUCUCCCUGAGCGAGGACCUGCGCUCCUGGACCCCGCGGACUCGGGGGCUCAGAUCACCCAGCGCGCGUAGGAGGCGGCGGGCAGGGCCUAGCGCGUCAGGAACUGUGUGCAGAGCAGGUGCUUCCUGUGGGGAAGGAGGUGCUGCAGUGCAGAGAUCCGCCAAGGCACAUGUGACCCUCCACCUCAUCUCUGAGUAUGAGGUCACCCUGAGGUGCUGGGCCCUGGGCUUCUACCCUGUGGAUAUCACCCUGAGGAGCUGACCCAGGACACACAGCUGGUGGACACCAGGCCUGGGGCCUGCGGGGGAUGGAAACUUCCAGAAGUGGGUGGCUGUGGAGGUGCCUUCUGGAGAGGGGCAGAGAUACACAUGCCAUGUUCAGCAUGAGGGGCUGCUGGAGCCCCAAGUCCUGAGAUGGGGUGAGGAUGGGGAUGUGGGUGCUGAGCUUCUGCUCAGAGGAAUCAGGAGCUCUUCUGGAGACCUUCAGAAGGUCAGGAUGAGGCUUGGGACUCAGGGUCUCACCUUCCCUUCCCUUCCAGUACCAUCUCCUCAGCCCACCGUCCCUACUAACUCUACCGACUCUAGCGUGGGCAUCAUUGCUGGCCUGGCUCUCCUUGUAGCUGUGCUCACUGGAGCUGCGGUGGCUGCAGCUGUGAUGUGGAGGAAGAAGCACUCAGCCAGGCCAUCAGACUGUGGCUGUGCCUGCUGGGGUGUCUCCUCAGAGGUGAGCACCCCCUGGAAGCACCUCCUGCUGCCACUGUGAGUUGGAUCCUCGCCCAGUGCUUGCAGCUGUUCCACCAGCUUCAGGCCCUCCCUGAUGGGACUGUACCACCUUACACGGGCCGCCUUAAUUUAGGAUUAUCGGACACUGUGGACACUAUCUGGGGUGACACAGCUGGCCACAGAGGCCUUAGAGACUCUUUAUUUCCCUGCUCUCCUGUUCAUUAGAGAAACCUCACUGCUGUUCCCUGAGCCUGAGUGGUUGAAAUUGAGCACACGGGUGAGAACCCACAGACAGUGCCCUGUGCUCUGCCUUAGCUCUGUCCUUCUGAGAGGGGCCAGGGAGGAAGGCCCCAUACCUAUUACAGGUAUCUGCGCACACACAGGCUGCACAUACACGCUACAUGACUCAUGAUCUGUUUUCUUUGAACUAAAGCUCUUGUUUUAAACUGAGAUCCUGCCCUGCUGAUGCCCCAAAGAGUGCCGGACACUGACGCCCUCUGAUGUACCAGGGGCAGGAUAACCUGGAGGCUGACGGCAAGUUCUGGGGCUGAUCAUGACAGAUGCCAGGAGUGUGAGCUGUGAUGGGCUGUUUUGAUGGACGAUUUGCUCAGAACAUAAAGGUUUGUCAGCACAGAGAGCACCAGAAGGACUCACAGGAGAGAGAUAUGUAGAGAAGGCUGCCUUGCUUCUUGGCUUUGGACUUGAACCAGGAACUUAGAGACAUGGAAGGAAACAUGUGGAAGAGACACCGUGAUGGCCUGAGUUGAAUCCCUGCCCAGGGAGCUACCCACAUGGCGCCGCAGACCUCUCCCUUCUUGCCCGAUGCUCCCCUCAGCAUGGCAUUUCAAUAGAUCUGCCUGUUUUGUUCCCCACUCUGUCUCUGAUGAAUCCUCUCACUCCCCUCCCCCGCCCACCUCUGGCCUACAUCCCAGCUCUUCUAUGCAUAAAUAAAUCUUAA